rnacentral:rRNA from 1 species
GCGUAGGGAUCAUUACCGAGUUUACAACUCCCAAACCCAAUGUGAACGUUACCAAACUGUUGCCUCGGCGGGAUCUCUGCCCCGGGUGCGUCGCAGCCCCGGACCAAGGCGCCCGCCGGAGGACCAACCAAAACUCUUAUUGUAUACCCCCUCGCGGGUUUUUUACUAUCUGAGCCAUCUCGGCGCCCCUCGUGGGCGUUUCGAAAAUGAAUCAAAACUUUCAACAACGGAUCUCUUGGUUCUGGCAUCGAUGAAGAACGCAGCGAAAUGCGAUAAGUAAUGUGAAUUGCAGAAUUCAGUGAAUCAUCGAAUCUUUGAACGCACAUUGCGCCCGCCAGUAUUCUGGCGGGCAUGCCUGUCCGAGCGUCAUUUCAACCCUCGAACCCCUCCGGGGGGUCGGCGUUGGGGAUCGGCCCUUUACGGGGCCGGCCCCGAAAUACAGUGGCGGUCUCGCCGCAGCCUCUCCUGCGCAGUAGUUUGCACACUCGCAUCGGGAGCGCGGCGCGUCCACAGCCGUUAAACACCCCAAACUUCUGAAAUGUUGACCU